UACAGAGGUCUCAAGCGUUGUUCGGAUUCAUUGGGCGUAAAGGGUGCGUAGGUGGCGCCGUAAGUCAGGUGUGAAAUCUCGGGGCUCAACCCCGAAACUGCACUUGAUACUGCGGUGCUCGAGUACUGGAGAGGAGAUUGGAAUUUACGGUGUAGCAGUGAAAUGCGUAGAUAUCAAGAGGAACACCAGUGGCGAAGGCGAGUCCCUGGACAACACCUGACACUGAGGCACGAAAGCUAGGGGAGCAAACAGG
rnacentral:rRNA from 1 species